GGUUAUUGCAAAGCUACUUUCCUUGGCUCAUGCUGAUCAGGUGAUUCCUGACUAAGAUUCUCCUUCUCAGAGGCCACAAACUAUAAUUCUCAGUUUGGUGCCAUGGGUCUUAGCAUAAGCCUCUCCAGUCUGGUUUCUAAGUCAGAGCCAUUCUCAUCUCGAACCCAGUUUGGUUCUUAAGUUGGACCCAGCUCGACCAGGACCAGUUUCAAAGAAGACCCAGUCUGACCCUGGCCGGUUUCCCAGCCAGCCCACCUCCAGAUGCAGCGAGGAAGCAGCCAGCUCAAGGGGCAGCACAGGAGGCAAGAGAACAAAUGAAGACACAGGAAAAGUAAAAGGCAAGCAUCUGAGAUUGAAGUUAUGA
rnacentral:lncRNA from 1 species